GCCGGAGCAAGACUAAGAUGCAAGUCCAACCCCAAUGCUUCAUCAAAAGUAGGCCCUCCGUCCCCUUUCGAGAACCUACUCAACGAUGUCGGGCCGUUAAGCCCAUCUACUCCCCCAGUAUGGGCCCUAGUCUGCACUGGUUGCAGCCCACUCGAUUUACUCACAUCCCCUGCCCCGCCAAUAUAGGGAAAUCCACCAACGCCCCUCCCCCCACCGAACCCACUCCCGGCCCCACCACCACCUCCACCACUGGGAAACACGCAUCCAUGCGAGACGUGGAAAGGUGCCGCCGGCCUUGGCAAGUAAACCCAAGAAGGCGCAGCCCCCGGGACCACAACUGGACCAGCCGGAGCCAAGAGAUGAGGCGGCGGGGCAAAGGCGGAGAUCAUGGGGUUUCUACUGAAGGAAACUGCAGCUGCGGCUGCGUUUCGGGUUGCUUGCAUUUGAGCUCGCUUGAGUUGCUGUCUUUCCUUCUUAUGUGCGUUCUGGUGGCCACCGAGUGCUUGUGAAUUGGCGAAUUCUCUGCAGCAGUACUGGCACUCGUAUUUUCUACUGUCACCUGAAGCAGCAGCAGCUGCGUCUGGGGAAUUAGAAGAAGAAGAAGUCUUGAUGGAGUCAGCUGUAAGUUCUUCAUCUUCAGAGACGCUGAAGCCGAAGAGUUUUAAGCGCGUGGUUGUAGAACUUGGUUUUGUUUGAUAAUCUAGCUCUUCCAUCUUAGAUAGACGAAUUAAAGUGACAAAACCAGUGGUUUCCAACAGAGAGAGAGAAAGAGAAAAAGAGAGAGAGAGAGAGAGAGA
rnacentral:misc_RNA from 1 species